UACAGAGGUCCCGAGCGUUGUUCGGAUUCAUUGGGCGUAAAGGGUGCGUAGGCGGCGGGGAAAGUCUGAUGUGAAAUCCUGGGGCUCAACCCUGGAACUGCAUUGGAUACUUCCUUGCUAGAGUACUGGAGAGGAAACUGGAAUUUACGGUGUAGCAGUGAAAUGCGUAGAGAUCGUAAGGAAGACCAGUGGCGAAGGCGAGUUUCUGGACAGUUGCUGACGCUGAGGCACGAAGGCCAGGGGAGCAAACGGG
rnacentral:rRNA from 1 species